AAACAUAGCUAUAAGGUAGUUAUUUAUAGUUUUACCUGCUCAUGAUUUAGUUUAAAUUGCCGCGGUACUCUGACCGUGCUAAGGUAGCAUAAUCAGUUGUCUUUUAAUUGAAGUCUAGAAUGAAUGGGAAAACGAGGGUUUAACUGUCUCUUUAAUAAUAUCCUGAAGUUACUAAAUAGGUGAAAAGGCCUAUAGUAGAUAAAAGACGAGAAGACCCUUAGAAUUUUAAAAUAUAUUUUUGUUGGGGCAACGCUUAAUAAAUUUUACCAUUAGAGCUAUUAUAUGACGGUUAUCUCAUGAGCAAAUAAAUUACCUGAGGGAUAACAGCAUAAUCUAUUAAUUAGGAUUGUGACCUCGAUGUUGGACUAGGAAAGAUAUGGGCUAGUCGUCUUUAUUUGUUAGUUCUGUUCGAACUUUAUCUCCUACGUGAUC
rnacentral:rRNA from 1 species